AAGUGGCUGAACGGAAACUGGCUGUAAGAAGAAAGGUGGCUGGGAGUAGAAACUAGCGGGGACUGGGAAGCUGGAAGAAGCAGGGAUUACCAGAGACUGCUGGGAGGGGAGGCUGUGAAAAUCUAAGACAACGGGGACUAGAGGAAGUGGCCAGCAGACUCAAUCCCCAGGACAAAGUGGUGGAUGAGGAAGUGGAACUGAAGGAUAAUAUGGAGCACACGGCAGGGUCGUCCGGUGGUGUGGUGAAUCAGGACCUGGUUUUGACUCCAGAGGGGUCAAGCCAGUCCCAGCACUCCAGGUCUGGUGCCCAUGAUACAGGAGUGGGGAGUUCCGAGACAGUGAGACAGCCUGAAAAGGAGAGAUGAGCAGGAGCAGAUGAUUAAGCUUCUGGAGAACCAGACAAAGAUGCUCAAGUCUCUCAUCAUGCUGCAGUCAGCACAUCCAUGCACAAGACCUCCGGCAGCCAAUACAGAACUCUGUUCCAUGCCCUCCCUAAACUCCCCCACCACAUUCUUUGCAUGUUCCCAAUCCUUCCCAGUACCCUGUGCACGCCUUCUCUAGGGACUGAUUUCUCAGUGAAAG